UACAUGGGGUGCAACCGUUGCUCGGAAUUAUUGGGCGUAAAGCGCGCGUAGGCGGUUACUUAAGUCGGAUGUGAAAGCCCUCGGCUUAACUGAGGAAGUGCACCCGAAACUGAGUAGCUAGAGUACGAAAGAGGGUCGCGGAAUUCCCGGUGUAGAGGUGAAAUUCGUAGAUAUCGGGAGGAACACCGGUGGCGAAGGCGGCGACCUGGGUCGAGACUGACGCUGAGGCGCGAAGGCGUGGGGAGCAAACAGG
rnacentral:rRNA from 1 species